AGAGUUUGAUCAUGGCUCAGGAUGAACGCUGGCGGUAUGCUUAACACAUGCAAGUCGAACGGAACUCUUCGGAGUUCAGUGGCGGACGGGUGAGUAACGCGUGAGAAUCUGGCUUCAGGUUCGGGACAACCAUUGGAAACGAUGGCUAAUACCGGAUGUGCCGCAAGGUGAAAGAUUAAUUGCCUGAAGAUGAGCUCGCGUCUGAUUAGCUAGUUGGUGGGGUAAGAGCCUACCAAGGCGACGAUCAGUAACUGGUCUGAGAGGAUGACCAGUCACACUGGGACUGAGACACGGCCCAGACUCCUACGGGAGGCAGCAGUGGGGAAUUUUCCGCAAUGGGCGAAAGCCUGACGGAGCAAUACCGCGUGAGGGAGGAAGGCUCUAGGGUUGUAAACCUCUUUUCUCAGGGAAGAACAAAAUGACGGUACCUGAGGAAUAAGCAUCGGCUAACUCCGUGCCAGCAGCCGCGGUAAUACGGAGGAUGCAAGCGUUAUCCGGAUUUAUUGGGCGUAAAGCGUCCGCAGGUGGCAGUUCAAGUCUGCUGUCAAAGGUCGGGGCUCAACCCCGAACAGGCAGUGGAAACUGAACAGCUAGAGUACGGUAGGGGCAGAGGGAAUUCCCAGUGUAGCGGUGAAAUGCGUAGAGAUUGGGAAGAACACCGGUGGCGAAAGCGCUCUGCUAGGCCGAAACUGACACUCAUGGACGAAAGCUAGGGGAGCGAAUGGGAUUAGAUACCCCCGUAGUCC
rnacentral:rRNA from 1 species